GCCGGGGACCCCCUGGAAUGUCGAUUUUUGAACUAGGUCAGAUCGGGAACGAAGCAGCCUUAAGAAAAUAACGAAUGCCAGGGGUCAUCUCCGGCACU
rnacentral:SRP_RNA from 1 species